rnacentral:rRNA from 1 species
AGAGUUUGAUCCUGGCUCAGAGCGAACGCUGGCGGCAGGCCUAACACAUGCAAGUCGAACGAACUCUUCGGAGUUAGUGGCGGACGGGUGAGUAACACGUGGGAACGUGCCUUUAGGUUCGGAAUAACUCAGGGAAACUUGAGCUAAUACCGAAUGUGCCCUUCGGGGGAAAGAUUUAUCGCCUUUAGAGCGGCCCGCGUCUGAUUAGCUAGUUGGUGGGGUAAUGGCCCACCAAGGCUACGAUCAGUAGCUGGUCUGAGAGGAUGACCAGCCACAUUGGGACUGAGACACGGCCCAAACUCCUACGGGAGGCAGCAGUGGGGAAUCUUGCGCAAUGGGCGAAAGCCUGACGCAGCCAUGCCGCGUGUAUGAUGAAGGUCUUAGGAUUGUAAAAUACUUUCACCGGUGAAGAUAAUGACUGUAGCCGGAGAAGAAGCCCCGGCUAACUUCGUGCCAGCAGCCGCGGUAAUACGAAGGGGGCUAGCGUUGCUCGGAAUUACUGGGCGUAAAGGGAGCGUAGGCGGACAUUUAAGUCAGAGGUGAAAUCCCGGAGCUUAACUUCGGAACUGCCUUUGAUACUGGGUGUCUUGAGUGUGAGAGAGGUAUGAGGAACUCCGAGUGUAGAGGUGAAAUUCGUAGAUAUUCGGAAGAACACCAGUGGCGAAGGCGACAUACUGGCUCAUUACUGACGCUGAGGCUCGAAAGCGUGGGGAGCAAACAGGAUUAGAUACCCUGGUAGUCC